rnacentral:lncRNA from 1 species
GUCUGAUGAGUGUUGAUCUGUAUCUGUUGGAAAUAUUGUUCCAAUGUUUCUCUCCGCAAUUGCAGCAUUCUAAAGGGGGUUUUCUCUCCUGAUUGAUGUUGAAAGAUGCAGCGUUGUUGCUGCUUGAGGAAGGAGUCUUGGAUCUGAUUGCACUUCAAUCUCCCCCACUUCUUCUAGGGAUACCAUUGCUAGGCUGGAUCCUAUUGUAACCCCCUCGGACAGACGGCUGAUGCCUAUACUUCAGAGUUUCCAAGUGAUAAUACCCUAGGCAUUCAACAGCUUGGAUCGCCUUGGGGAGGGUAUCUACCAUUUGUCUUUGCAGCUCCAUACGGGCAUGAGGUUUCAAACCUUCUGGGAAUGUGAAGAGUUUGUCUUUCUCACCCAUAUCCCGUAUGUUUAGCAUAAGCAUGGAGAAAUCCCGCACGUAAUCCCGCACUGACCUGGUCUGGCAGAGCUCCCGUAGUUCUC